rnacentral:rRNA from 1 species
UACGUAGGGGCCUAGCGUUGUCCGGAUUUAUUGGGCGUAAAGAGCUCGUAGGCGGUUCGGUAAGUCAGGUGUGAAAUCUCCACGCUCAACGUGGAGGGGCCAUUCGAAACUGCCGUGACUCGAGUCCGGGUAGGGGAGUGUGGAAUUCCCGGUGUAGCGGUGAAAUGCGCAGACUAUCGGGAGGAACACCAGUAGCGAAGGCGGCACUCUGGGCCGGUACUGGACGCUGAGGAG